AUGAUCAUUAUUUAAAAAAAAAAAAAUCAAACGGGCCUGGCAUGAUGGUACAUACCUGAAAUCCCAGCAAAAGUAUCCAAAUUCUGGUCUGAGAGUAGAAUGAUUGGCAGAAGGCUAGCCCCUCCUACAAACAGUAAUUACGAACUUUGGGUAAAACAAAAACAAACACCUUUUUGAUGCUCCUGGAGAGCAACAAACAAUAAAGAAAGGGCAAUGAUCCUAAGAAGGAGGGACCACUCUGGACGGGAUUCAUACUUGUAUGGUUUUUCCCCGAAGGAAUCAUUCUGGAACCUAUGUAUGUUAGAAUCUUUGGAGCUUGUUAAAAGACAGAUUUUGGAUUCCAUCUGAGUUUCUGAUUCGCUGGAUCUGAGAUGGGGCCUGGAACUUUGCAUUUCUAACAUGUUCACAGGUGAUGCUGAUGAUGAUGGCCCAAGUAUCACACUUUGAAAACCACAGCUCGAGCAGAGCAGGAGUCCUUGAAGAACUAGAACUGAAGCAGAAAGCCACAGCAUAUUGGCCUGACAAUUCAGAGGAGUUUGCAUCUGAAGUCGAGGGAAGUUGAGCAGAAACUUGGGGAAGGAGAGUCCCAGGGCCAGAAGCUACCAAAUAUGUGUAUACGUUCUCCUCAAAUUAUUGGUGGACCCCAGAAAUGUACAUGUGCAUGUGAGACUACCAGGAGUUGAGGGGACAUAUGACAGUUGAUAGUUGGAAGAGGUGAACAGAGGCCAAGUGUGGUGGUGCACACUAGUAAUCUCAGCAGCCUGGAAGGCUGAGGCAGGAGGACCUCAAGUUCAAAGCCAGCUUUAGCAAUUUAGUGAGGCCCUAAGCAACUGAGACCCUGUCUCAAAAAAAAAAAAAUGCUCACUAG
rnacentral:lncRNA from 1 species